CUAAGACAGUAUGUCUGACUACAUACAUGUCUUAUUGUUGUUUUGAGAUAGGGCCUUACAAGAUAGGCCAGACUAUAGUCAAAUUUACCAUCCUCUUGCCUCAGCCUUCUGAGCAGUAUAAUUAAAAUACCCAUUGCCAGCUUGUACAAUGUUUUCAAUUAAGAAAAUGCCUAGACACUUUUCAAAUGUCUCAAGUAAAGCAAUGCCCAUUUUAGUAUGCAAAUACUUUAGUGUAUCAUGAAAUAUUUACAAAAAGUAUUUCAAACAAGGUUAAUUACUUAAACUCUGGCCUUUUGUUAGUUUGGUUUUGAGACAGAGUUUGAUGUAGCCCAGGCUGGCCUGGGACUCCCUUUGUAAAUGAGGAUAGUCUUGAAGCACUUAUCCCCUGCCUCUAUGUCCUGAGCAUUAGAAUUCCAGGUGAGUGACACUGCACCUUGUUUCUAUGCAAUACUGGGAACUAAAUCCAGAGCUUCAUGCAUGCUAGCAAAGCAGUCUACCAGUGAGCUGCCUCCCCAGCCCAAACUGUUCUGCACUGUUCACUGCCUGCCAAACAGGGGAAUGACCCCGGGGAUCUUCAAUGGGAACUAAAGCCUUCAGUGCAUCAUGCUGCAGCUUCCUGCUUCUACUGCUAUGCCUGCCUCAUGCAGCCAUGCCUCCACACCAGGAUGACCUCUUAUGCUUUUGGAAGUAAAAGCCCCAAAACAAUCUUCUAUAAGCUCUCCUGGUCAAGGGGUGAUGAUCAGAAUGGUCUCAAGCAACUCCAGAAUUUCCACACCAAAGCAGAAGGCUUAU